rnacentral:rRNA from 1 species
GACGAACGCUGGCGGCGUGCUUAACACAUGCAAGUCGAACGGAAAGGCCCUGCUUUUGUGGGGUGCUCGAGUGGCGAACGGGUGAGUAACACGUGAGUAACCUGCCCUUGACUUUGGGAUAACUUCAGGAAACUGGGGCCAAUACCGGAUAGGAGCUCCUGCUGCAUGGUGGGGGUUGGAAAGUUUCGGCGGUUGGGGAUGGACUCGCGGCUUAUCAGCUUGUUGGUGGGGUAGUGGCUUACCAAGGCUUUGACGGGUAGCCGGCCUGAGAGGGUGACCGGCGACAUUGGGACUGAGAUACGGCCCAGACUCCUACGGUAGGCAGCAGUCGAGAGUAUUGCACAGUGGGCGGACGCCUGAUGCGGCAACGCCGCGUGCGGGAUGACGGCCUUCGGGUUGUAAACCGCUUUCGCCUGUGACGAAGAGUGAGUGACGGUAAUGAGUAAAGAAGCACCGGCUAACUACGUG